rnacentral:rRNA from 1 species
CCCCUAGAUGUUCUGGGCCGCACGCGCGCUACACUGAACAGUUCAACAAGUCUUAACCUUGGCCGAUAGGUCUGGGUAAUCUUUGAACGCUGUUCGUGAUUGGGAUAGACCUUUGCAAUUAUGGGUCUUCAACGAGGAAUUCCUAGUAAACGCAAGUCAUCAGCUUGCAUUGACUACGUCCCUGCCCUUUGUACACACCGCCCGUCGCACCUACCGAUUGAAUGGUCCGGUGAAAUCUCGGGACGGCGGCUUGGUCGCUUGCGUCCGACUGCUGAAACUUGAUUAAACCAUAUCAUUUAGAGGAAGGUGAANUCGUANCA